rnacentral:lncRNA from 1 species
GAGCAUCUGCCAUCCGAUUCUCAUCUCGACGGAUACAAUGAAACUCAACCUUUGUAAAGAAAGUUGAAAUCCUCCUCGCAUAAUCUCUAUAUGGUAUUAAACCGGGUUGAUUCGUCUCCCAUUCACCUUGGAUCUAAUUCACAACCAAAGAUGAGUCUCCGAAGACAUCUAAAUAGUUGAUUCUGAGAUUCAUGGCCUCUUCAAGCCCCAUAAUGCAAG